AUAAAAACUAAAUAAAUACACAAUAUAUACAAGUUAAGCUUAAAAUGUGAAAAACCUGUGCAAUAACCCCUCAUUACUCUACUAAGUAGAAUACCAUAUACGCUUCCAUUAUGUUCAAUACCAUGUGCAAUACUUGAAACUCCCCAUUUUAUCUGUUAUCUUAUUCUUGUAUCCACAAUUUUAUUAACUAUUUUUGUAUUCUCGGGUAAUAUUAUACUUUGACUAGGUGUUUGUUCUUUUGGCUUUAAACUCUUUACUUGAAUCCAGGAGAGCCCUGCACAACAAUUCCUAUAUGCCUAGACUGUGUGUUUAUGCAUAAAUGGCAAAUAAAAAUCUUGAAUCUUGAAUCCUGAAACCUACUUACUUCAGUAACGUCUGCGAAGUUUUCCAAUCCUUUUCAAAAAGACAGAAGUUCUAACAAGUUGUCUCAGGUUUUCACUCAGGAGCAGAAGUUAAUUGGCUGAUACUGUAGAGGGUUUAUCCUUUCACAAGUAAACUUGUUUCAGGUUUGCACUCAGGAGCAGAAGUUAGCAAGUGAUGUGAAUUCGGUUCCCUUUAAUGGAGGCUGUUGUCCUUUGAUGUCAGUUGAUGACAUCACAGGUUGACAUGGCAACAGAACCUUUGGAAUUAUGCUGUUGAAUUAUUUAAAUACAAGUUAUAAAUUGUGUUUUGAUAGUUUGGCGAUGUUGUUUAUUUAAACUUUGAUGCCAGUAAAGUCAUUUGAAUUGAGUUGCUUCAUAUUUCACUUUUUGUUUGUAAAAUGACCAGAUUGUCAUUAGAGCAGCAUGUUUCAUUUGAACUCAUGGUAUCUGCCACAAUAUUAUCUGUGGCACAAAUUCACAUAAAUAGUAUUAUAC